GUGAACAAUUAAACGGNCGCGGUACCCUAACCGUGCAAAGGUAGCAUAAUCAUUUGUCUACUAAUUAUAGACCUGUAUGAAAGGUAAAAUGAGGGUCUAACUGUCUCUUAUAGUCAAUCUAUUAAACUGAUCUCCUAGUAAAAAAGCUAGGAUGCAAACAUAAGACCAGAAGACCCUGUGAAGCUUAAACUAAACUAUUAAACCAUAUAAUAACUACUUUCGGUUGGGGCGACCUUGGAAAAAAAAAGAACUUCCAAAUAUAUGACCUUCAUCAUACUAAAKGGCACACAAGCCAACGAACGACCCAGCACAGCUGACUAAUGAACCAAGUUACUCCAGGGAUAACAGCGCAAUCCUCUUCAAGAGCCCAUAUCAAAAAGAGGGUUUACGACCUCGAUGUUGGAUCAGGACAUCCUAAUGGUGCAGUCGCUAUUAAGGGUUCGUUUGUUCAACGAUUAACAGUCCUACGUGAUCUGDUU
rnacentral:rRNA from 1 species